CCCUUAGAUGUUCUGGGCCGCACGCGCGCUACACUGAUUCAUGCAACGAGUUUUGUCCUUGGCUGAAAGGCCUGGGUAAUCUUUGAACGUGAAUCGUGCUGGGGAUAGAUGAUUGCAAUUAUUCAUCUUCAACGAGGAAUUCCUAGUAAACGCAAGUCAUCAGCUUGCAUUGAUUACGUCCCUGCCCUUUGUACACACCGCCCGUCGCUCCUACCGAUUGAAUGUUCCGAUGAAUACCAUGGACUGAGAGUAUGAAUGGGUUCGCCUAUUUCUGCUUCUCGGGAAGUGGAGUAAAUCUUAACAUUUAGAGGAAGGAGAAGUCGUAACA
rnacentral:rRNA from 1 species